rnacentral:rRNA from 1 species
UCAGUGGUGAGGCGCGCGGCCCGGGUAAGAUGAACCGUGCGAUCGGUGUUCGGGAUUACGUGGCUUGAAGGGCGGGUGGGCGGGCGGUCGAGUCUGUGGGGAAAUCCGUCGGCUCAACCGGAGAAUAUCUGGGGAUGCUGGCCGUCUCGAGGGGGGUAGUGGCAUGUGGAACUUCCGGUGGAGCGGUGAAAUGCGUAGAUAUCGGAAGGAACGCCGGUGGCGAAAGCGACGUGCUGGACCCUUUCUGACGCUGAGGCGCGAAAGCCAGGGGAGCAAACGGGAUUAGAUACCCGGGUAGUC